CUUCAACUCCCCAAAGACCUGUCAACCAGCACUAUACAAAAAGGGAAGCUCGCCUGCUGCUGGCUGCCUUUCGCCUUCUGCAUUCACCUGUCUCCUAUCAUGGCCCGGGGUCUUGUUCUGCUGUGUCCGUUCUCUCUCCACAUGUUACUCAUUUCUAUUAUAGAUUCCUCGCACUACUAGUACUACCUGUUCCCGAUAGAUCCUUCCAGAAUUAGGCUAUGGAGUUCCUUUCCUGAGGCAAUAUGACGGUGAUACCCACCCCACUUGCUCUGCCUGUCCUCACCUAAGCUCCACCAGUCGUAUUGCUUCAUUGAUUCCCCCCUCCUUCCUCGAGAACCGUUCGUCACUAUGUUAGAUCCUCGAGAUGACCAUGCAAGAUGGUUCAGUUCUAGUUGACAUUCCACUAUAUGAAAAGACCAGAUCGCCACUUUAUAUUCUUAUUCCUUGAGAGAGAGAGAGAGAACCGGAACAGCGACCUCGUGAAUCAUCCUAUUUAAUCGCUUCACCCUCGCCACAUUCGCUACUACUUCAAUUAUUGGGGUAAAUGGACAUUAAGACUAAGUUAUGAGAUAUGAGAGUUAAAUUAAUAUUGUAGUCCUAUUUAACCCAAUUAUUUUACAACCCUUUA